CAUGGGGCAAAGGAUUAUGCAUGACAGAUUAGUCCAUGGAUCAAAAAAGAAAAAUUGAUCUGGUCACUUAUGUUUCCCAACAUAAAGUCAAUUAGUGAUUACUGGAAUAUAUGUCUCUGAGACAUUUGAUUAAUAUUGUAGAGAUUGGAACCUAAAAUUUUAAAAUCUUAUAUAGUUGAUGUCAUGUUUAUUUACCUAUCAUCACAUUUGGUGUUGAAUUGAUCAGAUCUGGUAUGGUUCAAGCAAAACUUUCUGUACUCAGCUUGAUUAGAUUAGCCUUCCUGUGAUUAAAUAUAUGCCUUACUAUUAAAACUAAAUUAGCUCUAAAAAUAAUUACUUAGUUUUUGUUUAUUUUGUUAAGAGCAUAAUUAGGAAGGAAACUAGUAAGGAGGGUGAGGAUGACACAACACAACUGCAAGCACUUUCAGAACUUUUGAUCACAUGGGCUGCUCUAACUUCAUGAAGUCCUUCAGAGAGUGGAAGAAUCUCAUAUGCUAGGAAAGAGCGCUUUCAAGGCUCGGAUAAGGAGGAAAAAAAUCUAGCAGCAGAAUGAGCCCUGGCCCCAACAAAAUCCCUGAAAAGCAGCCCUUGAUGGAUGUUCACAGCAUAAUCCUCAGGAUAUGCCAUUUGUGCUUACUGGUUUAUUCCAUAUCUUGGAGUCUUUGAGCCCCUAUAUAACUUGUGCCGGUCCAUCAUUGAAACACAAGCAGGAGCAUGUAUACAUACUAGAAGAAGUACUUGUCAAAUAAGCAAAGCAGUCAUAGGGCUCCUCUUUCUUGGCAGGCACUGGUGAGUGAUGCAUCUACAAAUGUACAAUAAUUUUCAUUGACCUGCCAAGAAAGAGUUGCCCUACGAUUGCUUUGGCUUAAUUAUAUUUGCAGCCUGUCUGAUCAUGCAGUAGAGCCCUAUCAUGCAAAACAUAGGCUAGCCAAGGAUAUACGUAGGUUUUGUCAUAUUUGAAAAUAAUGGUAGAGGUAGAGCUAUAAUACUGAAGUAAUUUUUGUUGUACAAAGUUGUUCUGCUUUGUGACUAAGCAAGGGAAAUAGUGUGAUUUUAUAUAGGUGGAAUGGAAGGUGGAAGCCAUAUAUACAAGCAAUUACUAAUUUCCCUGAUCCCUUUUGUCAGUCGUGGCCAUAUAGCUUUAUCUGAGAGGAUGUUCUUGCUGUGUGCUUAUAGUUUGGUUUGGGAUACAUAAUUGUGAUCAUAGUUAGAUCUAUUUAAUAUUAUUAUUUUAACCGUAUCUACCUUUCCCUAACCAAUGACCAGAAGCAAACCAUUUUGAUCCUAAUCGUAAUAUGGAAUUUGUGAUUCCAUCUGAAGUAUUUGUUUAUUUGUUUCAUUUUCUUCAUGUCUGUUCUGUGUUUUCAACUUUUGAAACUUUACCAGCCGAAGAGGUUAUGCCUGUUCUUCAUAUGUUCUUACAAAGUCUGAAUUCAGUCCCCGCCAGCUGAAGAGGUUAUGCUAAUAUUUUAUUUUGCUUUUUUUUUUUUUUUAAUCAAGUCAUCCCACACUUUCUUUUCUAUUUUUUCUGUCUUCUUUCUCUGGAUAAACCCAUAACUUAUUACUAGUCUACAUACUCAA